UAAAAAAUCAGCCAAUUUCUGAAAAAUUCCCUGUACUUAUAGCCCAUGUGUUAUUCUCCUUAUUUUUAUUCAGUUCACACGUCCCAUCCAGAGAGCAGAGUGAGGCAUUGGAAUGCUUACAUGUUGUUUUAUGAGGCAGCAAACGAAAUUAAGAAAACACAAGACACUCAUAAAGAACAGGACAGACGUCUUGUUUUCUGUUACUCCUGCUGGUUCAACUGAUUACUGUAUUUGGACAAGCACCUUCCACCUUACCCAGUGUUCGACUGCAUUUAUUUAUUGAGGACAGGAUAAUACUUGAUUACUCUAUGAAUAUGAUAUAUGCUAGCUAUAUAUGUAUGAUCUAUGAUAGCUAGAUAUAUAAAUAUAUGUAUAAAUACAGUGUAGGCAGCCACACUAUCAGCUGUGGUUCUUUCUUGAGCCAUUCAAUAAAUUGUCUUUCAGCAA